UACGUAGGGGGCAAGCGUUGUCCGGAAUUAUUGGGCGUAAAGAGCGCGCAGGCGGCCGAGUAAGUCGAAUGUGAAAGCCCCGGCUCAACUGGGGAAGGUCAUUCGAUACUGUUCGGCUUGAAGAUAGGAGAGGGAAGCGGAAUUUCAGGUGUAGUGGUGAAAUGCGUAGAUAUCUGAAGGAACACCAGUGGCGAAGGCGGCUUCUGGCCUAUUCUUGACGCUGAGGCGCGAAAGCUAGGGGAGC
rnacentral:rRNA from 1 species